ACUUACUAUAAUACUGUUAUGCUCGAUGUGGGAACGGCCAUUUUUAUUGUGAUUCGCUGACGUGGCCUUUGGUUGGGGGUUGGCGCGAAGGUUGGCAUACAAAAAAGAUUUCUGGAUAACCGGAAUCUUUGAAAAAAUUUCCCAUGUCAAUUGUUAGAUAACAUUUAAAUGUAAUAUUACAAUGUUUUAGCGUUGUUUUCGUUAAAUAAUGAAGAUCAUGAAGUUUGGGGUGAUGUGGACAAUGAUAACACUGAAGUAGAUUGUAACUGUAAACCAACCUGUUCUGAUAUCACAUAUGGGACCGAAUUAUCGUAUAAUAAUCUCAUAUUACAGAUAUUAAAUAAGACUUUAAGAGAAGAGAUGGAUUUUGAAAAUGUGAAUUAUUCAAUUCUAAUGCUCUAUUUCGAUAAAAGCUACGUUGAGACGAAA
rnacentral:lncRNA from 1 species